rnacentral:rRNA from 1 species
UACGGAGGGGGCGAGCGUUGUUCGGAAUUACUGGGCGUAAAGGGCGCGUAGGCGGUGCACCAAGUCAGGCGUGAAAGCCCCGGGCUCAACCCGGGAACCGCGCUUGAGACUGGCACGCUCGAGUUCGGGAGAGGAUGGUGGAAUUCCCAGUGUAGAGGUGAAAUUCGUAGAUAUUGGGAAGAACACCGAUGGCGAAGGCAGGUCACUGGGCCGCAACUGACGCUGAGGAGCGAAAGCAUGGGGAGCGAACAGG